AAAUUGAAGAGUUUGAUCAUGGCUCAGAUUGAACGCUGGCGGCAGGCCUAACACAUGCAAGUCGAACGGUAACAGGAAGCAGCUUGCUGCUUUGCUGACGAGUGGCGGACGGGUGAGUAAUGUCUGGGAAACUGCCUGAUGGAGGGGGAUAACUACUGGAAACGGUGGCUAAUACCGCAUAACGUCGCAAGACCAAAGAGGGGGGCCUUCGGGCCUCUUGCCAUCAGAUGUGCCCAGAUGGGAUUAGCUAGUUGGUGAGGUAACGGCUCACCAAGGCGACGAUCCCUAGCUGGUCUGAGAGGAUGACCAGCCACACUGGAACUGAGACACGGUCCAGACUCCUACGGGAGGCAGCAGUGGGGAAUAUUGCACAAUGGGCGCAAGCCUGAUGCAGCCAUGCCGCGUGUAUGAAGAAGGCCUU
rnacentral:rRNA from 1 species